GCAAUACGUCACCUACAUUCUAAACGAUGCCAUUGACGUCGUUUCACACUGCCUCAUUUUUUCUCCGGUGUGCCUUAUCCGGUUUCCCGGUUACCUUCCCUACCAUACAACCGCUGACACCACUAGAUAUAUUUUCUGAUAGAUCUGCCCAACAUGCCAUCGCUCCCCCGUUGAUUUACUUCUUCAAGAACUUCAUCGAAGGAUCAGGAAACAACUGUACACUCUGCCCCCUUUUUCCUUCCCGUAUUUGGAGCACCGGUCUCCUCCUUCUCCAUACCACCGCUCCCUCUCAUCCAAUCAUAUUCAAUAUUUUUCCUUUUCUUUCUGUUUAUGAUUGCGAUCUGGAAUUUUUAACAUGACAAAUUACUUGGAUUUCCUCCCUCUAAUCCAGUCAUCUCACCCACAGUCAUGACUCUUACUUCUUUUUGUUUUGGUCUAUGUGUGUUAUAGAACACAAACAGAUGGAAGGAAGACGAAGACUGAAUCUGGUUAAAGGAUCUGAAAUUGUUACUUAUGGAAGAGGUUUUGUUGCAUACACAACCAAUGUAAACGGAAAGGAUUUUUUGUGUUUAUAAUGUAUAUCUUGUUAGACAUGACAGGCCCUUGAAUUCGCAUAUCCUGUGCCACUUUCCUUAUUUUCUAUGUUCCAGACUCGGGACAACCAUCCCCCCAUCUUCCUGUUGUUUUUCCUUGCCCCUCAUUCCUGUACCACUCAUCCUGAGCCACAUCCCUGGUCAACCCCAAUCCCUUGAUCCUACAGCUAUACCAUCCUCCCUUAUAACUUUUAGAUUUAUUUUAAAACAGUUAGCUGUCUACUCAUGACAUUUGUGAAGAAAGAUAUUGCAUUCCAAGUCUUUAGACCAUUGUUCAUACAA